GGGCUGUGUGUGUGUGUGUGUGUGUGUGUGUGUGUAGACGGGAGAGAGUCCCUGCUUCUCAGCAAGGCCUGGGAGCCACUCACUAGGAUCCUGGAUUUUCCUGAAGGAUUAAACGUGGCAUUCCCUCCUUCCCGCUUCCGUAACGGACCUAAAAAUAGCUUGUCCCGGAGGGACUGGGGAGAGGCUCCGCCCCUCCUUGGGGUCGGGUGGGGUGGCUCUCGCGGGAGCAGGAGGCAGCGGAGACCCCAGCCUCCAGCUGCGGGCGCCCAGAGGUUUUUCUGUGCCCCCGGUCCCACAGGUUGGCAGCAGGUGGCCGGGCGGCUCUGCCCCGUGCCGUUCAGAGCCCGAGCUGCCGCGCGGGGUGGGGUGGGGGCCGGGGAGCGGAGGAAGCAUCCCAGGCAGGCGCGGCGGCGAGGAUUCCGGGAACAGCCUCCGUCCAGGGCGGUGGAGCGAGUCGGGAGGCGGGGCCGGGGCGGAGGGGCGGAGCCGCUCUUUCGCGACCUCUGCCCACUGCCUGGGUUCCGGGGACCCCCAGGUGAGCCGGGCCGCGUGGGAAAACUAUGCCAGGAAUUUGGCCCGAGCAGGAGCGGCGUGCAGUCCAAGACGCUAGCCUCGGUCGCAGUAGGCUCAACAGCAGCGCCUCCGACGCCCAGCGGGGUCCGGCGGGGAGCUCUGCCUCGGGACGCACCGCCCCUUGCGCCCGGCGGCUUCCCCAUCCCCGGUGCCUGGCCCACUCCGGACCGAGGUGUGGGAAAGCAGUCUGCUGAUAAUUUAGUUUGAAGAAAACACAGCGUUCCUGCCUCUGGGGCGCGUGGUCUCCAGGCCCUCUCUCAGCUCCUGUGCCUGUUGCCGUGGCCUUGGUGGCACCCUUCCCCGGUGGCCAGCCCAGGGCUUCCCCCACCCAUGCAGUCUCCCACCACCACUGCCCAGGGCCUCAGCGGCCCCCUCUUUGGGGCCUACACUCUCCCCACCUUCAAGUUCCAGCCUCGCCGUGAGAGUGUGGACUG
rnacentral:lncRNA from 1 species